UACGUAGGGCGCGAGCGUUGUCCGGAAUUAUUGGGCGUAAAGAGCUCGUAGGCGGCUUGUUGCGUCUGCUGUGAAAUCCCGGGGCUUAACCCCGAGCCUGCAGUGGGUACGGGCAGACUAGAGUGUGGUAGGGGAGACUGGAAUUCCUGGUGUAGCGGUGGAAUGCGCAGAUAUCAGGAGGAACACCGAUGGCGAAGGCAGGUCUCUGGGCCAUUACUGACACUGAGAAGCGAAAGCAUGGGGAGCGAACAGG
rnacentral:rRNA from 1 species